CCCCCAGCAUCUCUGCCUGUGUAGUGGGGACUCCGAGUGGUCCCCAGGGCCCCUCACCAUGGCCAGAGGAGAGUUCCCGAGAUCAGGAGCUGGCGGCUGUGCUGGAGUGCCUGACCUUUGAGGAUGUGCCAGAGAAUAAGGCGUGGCCUGCACACCCCCUGGGAUUCGGAAGCAGAACCCCAGACAAGGAGGAAUUUAAACAAGAAGAGCCCAAAGGGGCUGCCUGGCCCACUCCCAUCUUAGCAGAGUCCCAGGCAGAUAGUCCUGGGGUGCCGGGAGAGCCUUGCGCCCAGUCGCUCGGACGGGGCGCUGCGGCUAGCGGCCCUGGUGAAGAUGGGUCCCUUCUUGGCAGCAGUGAAAUUUUGGAGGUCAAAGUGGCUGAGGGCGUCCCCGAGCCCAAUCCGGAGUUGCAGUUCAUCUGCGCGGACUGCGGGGUGAGCUUCCCGCAGCUGUCUCGCCUGAAGGCGCACCAGCUGCGCUCGCACCCGGCUGGGCGCUCCUUCCUGUGCCUUUGCUGCGGGAAGAGCUUCGGCCGCAGCUCCAUUCUCAAGCUGCACAUGCGCACUCACACGGAC
rnacentral:lncRNA from 1 species